AUUGAACGCUGGCGGCAUGCUUUACACAUGCAAGUCGAACGGCAGCGCGGGCUUCGGCCUGGCGGCGAGUGGCGAACGGGUGAGUAAUGCAUCGGAACGUGCCCAGUAGUGGGGGAUAGCCCGGCGAAAGCCGGAUUAAUACCGCAUACGACCUGAGGGUGAAAGCGGGGGACCGAAAGGCCUCGCGCUAUUGGAGCGGCCGAUGUCGGAUUAGCUAGUUGGUGGGGUAAAGGCUUACCAAGGCGACGAUCCGUAGCUGGUCUGAGAGGACGACCAGCCACACUGGGACUGAGACACGGCCCAGACUCCUACGGGAGGCAGCAGUGGGGAAUUUUGGACGAAGGGGGCAACCCUGAUCCAGCCAUGCCGCGUGCGGGAAGAAGGCCUUCGGGUUGUAAACCGCUUUUGUUCGGGAAGAAAUCCUCUGGGCUAAUACCCCGGGGGGAUGACGGUACCGGAAGAAUAAGCACCGGCUAACUACGUG
rnacentral:rRNA from 1 species